GGAGAGAGAAAUGAGAUCGAUGCCAAGGUUUUACUCUGGGGAACACAUUACUAGUGAACAGCUGAGGGACACUAUGGGGAUGUGCAGGGGUUAGAAGUGUGUGUGGAGGGCUGUGUGAGGUCAGGUGAUGUUUCUGGUCAGUCAGGGGAAUGAGGGACCAGAUGUGUGGUGAGUUGAUGACAGGUCAGGUGUGUGGCGAGUUGAUGACAGGUCAGGCGUGUGGUGAGUUGAUGACAGGUCAGGUGUGUGGUGAGUUGAUGACAGGUCAGGUGUGUGGUGAGUUGAUGACAGGUCAGGCGUGUGGCGAGUUGAUGACAGGUCAGGCGUGUGGUGAGUUGGUGAAAGGUCAGGCGUGUGGCGAGUUGAUGACAGGUCAGGCGUGUGGCGAGUUGGUGACAGGUCAGGCGUGUGGCGAGUUGAUGACAGGUCAGGCGUGUGGCGAGUUGGUGACAGGUCAGGCGUGUGGUGAGUUGGUGACAGGUCAGGCGUGUGGCGAGUUGGUGACAGGUCAGGCGUGUGGCGAGUUGGUGACAGGUCAGGCGUGUGGCGAGUUGGUGACAGGUCAGGCGUGUGGCGAGUUGGUGACAGGUCAGGCGUGUGGCGAGUUGAUGACAGGUCAGGCGUGUGGUGAGUUGAUGACAGGUCAGGCGUGUGGUGAGUUGGUGACAGGUCAGGCGUGUGGCGAGUUGGUGACAGGUCAGGCGUGUGGUGAGUUGAUGACAGGUCAGGCGUGUGGUGAGUUGAUGACAGGUCAGGCGUGUGGUGAGUUGAUGACAGGUCAGGCGUGUGGCGAGUUGAUGACAGGUUAGGUGUGUGGCGAGUUGAUGACAGGUCAGGCGUGUGGCGAGUUGAUGACAGGUCAGGCGUGUGGCGAGUUGGUGACAGGUCAGGUGUGUGGCGAGUUGAUGACAGGUCAGGCGUGUGGCGAGUUGGUGACAGGUCAGGCGUGUGGCGAGUUGAUGACAUGUCAGGUGUGUGGCGAGUUGAUGACAGGUCAGGCGUGUGGUGAGUUGAUGACAGGUCAGGCGUGUGGCGAGUUGAUGACAGGUCAGGCGUGUGGUGAGUUGAUGACAGGUCAGGCGUGUGGCGAGUUGAUGACAGGUCAGGCGUGUGGCGAGUUGAUGACAGGUCAGGCGUGUGGCGAGUUGAUGACAGGUCAGGCGUGUGGCGAGUUGAUGACAGGUCUAUGAUGGGUGUGUGUCUGCCUGUGUUACUGGACGUGAAUUUCCUGUAGACAAUCUGAGAGGUCUAUGAUGGGUGUGUCUGCUUGAGUUAC